UACAGAGGUCUCAAGCGUUGUUCGGAUUCAUUGGGCGUAAAGGGUGCGUAGGCGGCGCGGUAAGUCGGGUGUGAAAUCUCGGAGCUUAACUCCGAAACUGCAUUCGAUACUGGCGUGCUUGAGGACUGGAGAGGAGACUGGAAUUUACGGUGUAGCGGUGAAAUGCGUAGAUAUCGUAAGGAAGACCAGUGGCGAAGGCGGGUCUCUGGACAGUUCCUGACGCUGAGGCACGAAGGUCAGGGGGAGCAAACGGG
rnacentral:rRNA from 1 species